rnacentral:rRNA from 1 species
GAGGAGGUCGCGGCUGAUUAGCUAGUUGGCGGGGUAAUGGCCCACCAAGGCAAAGAUCGGUAGCCGGCCUGAGAGGGCGCACGGCCACACUGGAACUGAAACACGGUCCAGACUCCUACGGGAGGCAGCAGUGGGGAAUUUUGCGCAAUGGGGGAAACCCUGACGCAGCAACGCCGCGUGGAGGAUGAAGUCCCUUGGGACGUAAACUCCUUUCGACCCGGACGAUAAUGACGGUACGGGUGGAAGAAGCCCCGGCUAACUUCGUGCCAGCAGCCGCGGUAAUACGAGGGGGGCAAGCGUUGUUCGGAAUUAUUGGGCGUAAAGGGCGCGUAGGCGGUGCGGUAGGUCACCUGUGAAACCUCUAGGCUUAACCUAGAGCCUGCAGGCGAAACUGCCGUGCUCGAGGGUGGGAGAGGUGCGUGGAAUUCCCGGUGUAGCGGUGAAAUGCGUAGAUAUCGGGAGG